GCUGGGCAUGGUGGUGCAUGCCUGUAAUCCCAGCAGCUUGGGAGGCCGAGGCAGAAGGACUGCAGUUCGAAGCCAGCCUCAGUAACUUAGCGAGAUCCUAAGAAACUCAACGAGACCCUGUCUCUA
rnacentral:sRNA from 1 species